CGUUCCCUGACCCUCGGCGUGUCGGGGAGAGGAGGAGGAGGGAGAGAAGUCAGUGAGUGGAGGAAGCUGGGAGGGAAGAAGACGGUGUGUGUCGAGGGAGAAGGAGGAGGGAAAGACGUUGUGGAGGACGUUUGUGUCGGGUAUCAUCAGCAGCACCCGGCACACGAGAUUUCGUGUCGCCAAGAAAGGAUUUUUGAAAGGUUGUCUUCCCCCUGCUCGUGUGGCCAUGGCGAAGAUUUAUGACUGUGACGAACGUUGAACGCUUUUUUAGCAGGAGCUCGCCUUUCUAAAGUAAUUCAUUUUUUUUCCAGGGGCCUCGUGGCCAUUGUCGCAAGCUGAAAGAGCCACGUGCUGGAGACACGUCAAAGCACGAGCCGACACGCCACCUGAGACGGAGAUCCACGUGUGACCUUUCUGCUUCAACAGGUCCAUGGUUAUGGUCUGCAGCGCGUGCAACCCGACGACGAGAGUAGCGGGGCCUGCACUGAACUGCGCCUCACCUCCUGUGCAAUCCUGGCUCCAACGACAUGGCCGUUGCAGGUAAAUUCACCGCAC